GACGAACGCUGGCGGCGUGCCUAAUACAUGCAAGUAGAACGCACAGUUUAUACCGUAGCUUGCUACACCAUAGACUGUGAGUUGCGAACGGGUGAGUAACGCGUAGGUAACCUGCCUGGUAGCGGGGGAUAACUAUUGGAAACGAUAGCUAAUACCGCAUAAUAUUAAUUAUUGCAUGAUAAUUAAUUGAAAGGUGCAAUUGCACCACUACCAGAUGGACCUGCGUUGUAUUAGCUAGUAGGUGAGGUAACGGCUCACCUAGGCGACGAUACAUAGCCGACCUGAGAGGGUGAUCGGCCACACUGGGACUGAGACACGGCCCAGACUCCUACGGGAGGCAGCAGUAGGGAAUCUUCGGCAAUGGACGAAAGUCUGACCGAGCAACGCCGCGUGAGUGAAGAAGGGUUUCGGAUCGUAAAGCUCUGUUGUAAGAGAAGAACGGGUGUGAGAGUGGAAAGUUCACACUGCGACGGUAUCUUACCAGAAAGGGACGGCUAACUACGUG
rnacentral:rRNA from 1 species